rnacentral:rRNA from 1 species
GAGUUUGAUCGUGGCUCAGAUUGAACGCUGGCGGCAGGCCUAACGCAUGCAAGUCGAGCGGAUGAAGGGAGCUUGCUCCUGGAUUCAGCGGCGGACGGGUGAGUAAUGCCUAGGAAUCUGCCUGGUAGUGGGGGAUAACGUCCGGAAACGGGCGCUAAUACCGCAUACGUCCUGAGGGAGAAAGUGGGGGAUCUUCGGACCUCACGCUAUCAGAUGAGCCUAGGUCGGAUUAGCUAGUUGGUGGGGUAAAGGCCUACCAAGGCGACGAUCCGUAACUGGUCUGAGAGGAUGAUCAGUCACACUGGAACUGAGACACGGUCCAGACUCCUACGGGAGGCAGCAGUGGGGAAUAUUGGACAAUGGGCGAAAGCCUGAUCCAGCCAUGCCGCGUGUGUGAAGAAGGUCUUCGGAUUGUAAAGCACUUUAAGUUGGGAGGAAGGGCAGUAAGUUAAUACCUUGCUGUUUUGACGUUACCAACAGAAUAAGCACCGGCUAACUUCGUGCCAGCCGCCGCCGU